AUGUUACAUUUGUUCCUCAUCGAGAGUCUCAGCUCUCGGCUCGAUGUCAAUUUUAAUUUUGAAAAUCUCCCAAGUGUCAGUUUUUCGUUUAGUUUCAAUAAUGAAACUAAGUUAGCGCUAAAAGCAGAAACAAAUUCAGACCUAACCGGAGGAAAGUUUCAUUUUAAGUGUGCAACCAACUUGCUACCUCAUCCUCACCAAAACACAACGUUUGAUUUAUGGGUAACGCCAAAAGGAGAUGUAACAACAUUUACGUACACUCGAGUGAAUCAAAAGACAAGCAAGACACGUUCUGGUUUCUUUGCAUUUUCUCUACUUCGUUCUGUUAUUCUGAUUGAAAACCCACGUUCAAGUGAAACAUUGAAAUUCCACCUUGACUACAAUUUCAAGGGAGUAAAUAAGUCCAUUUCACUCCAUGCUCGCAAUGGAACAAAGUUCCUUGACUUGGAUGGUAGUGUAUUAACAGGCCCUUCAUCAUUUGACUUGAAACUUCUGCGAGUCUCAGACAAAAAACGUAGCACCUUAAAUGCUAAAUGCAAUGUUUCAGAGGGAAUGGAUCUCUUGUUCUCAUUUGCCGCAAACUCUACUGAUCUUUUCAAACUAAAAGUGUUCGUUGAUAGUUUUUCAAAAGUCGAUGCUGUUUUUAGUACCUCUCUGUCACUUUUAAAGAGUCUGCCUUCUCUUGUAGAGCUCAAUUAUGAUCUUACACAGCAAAAGAAAGUGUUUGUGGUGUCAGCCAAACACAAAGGAUCUAGUCAUGUCAUAAAUACAAUGAUUGACAAAGGUGAUUUUGACGGCCAUCUUGCUUUAAAUAUCUCCAGUCCAUUGUUACCUGGGGUGAGAAAAAUUAGUUUUGCAUCUAAUUAUAAUUUUUCGGACUUCUCAAAAGUGGAAUUGAACUCAGUAAUGGCUGCUGACUCUUUGAAAGGAAAUUUUUCUUUAAAAUCAAACUUGGAGAGUACUCUGUCUUUAUCUAUCCUGGCAGUAUCUUCCGUCAAGAAUCAUAAGAGCUUUCCUAUGGGUAUCAACUUAUCAGCAGAUUUUUCCAUUGAUAAUAAAACUGUCACUUUAAGUGUCUCUAAUCCUAGUCAAAAUGUGAAAGAUGAUUAUUCAGCGCACCUUUACUUCCAAAAUCUCACCGCUGAAAACAGAUUGAUCUGGAAACAAAAUGACGAAAUGCGUUUUAUGACAUCAUUAUCCUAUGAUUUUUCCUCAAAGCGAGAGUUCGCUUUUAGUCAGAAGAAAGAUUUGGUGCCUCUACAAGAAUUAAAUUUCAAUUUAACUAAUGUGCAAAACGGGAGUAUGUCACUUCUAAACAUCUGGAAUAUAAGUAGUUUCGAAUUGAGCUAUGAUCUCUUGAAAAUUGAUUCGAUAAACCUUAAAAUGAAUUAUCUGAGCCAAAAAUUUAACUGUCAAGUUUCGUCCUCAUUACUUUUUGCACAUUCAUCGCUGGAUUCAUCCUUGUCAUUCCUUUGGAACAACUCUGGCACUGACUCAGCUAUCUCCCUCCAAGAGCCCUUCAAACUAAAUAGCCGAACCCAGCUAAGUUUUGACGUGAAAAAAAGUUUUGUUAGAUCAGUUUUAUCUAUCUCUGAAAUGGACUAUUUUAACCUCUCUUACUCUCAUGAUCUGAUCGGACCAGAAGAAUUUGGAAUGUCAGAUGUAAUAGACCUAUUACUCUAUCAAGGUACCGGUGGUCCAGGAUUGGUCAAAAGUGAGAUAGCUCUCUCCGAGAAAUUCUGGAGCACUGACUUGAAAGUAGAUGCUGAAUUGCGAGUAAAUCAAAUAACUGCUGAUCUGGACAGUAACCUCCUUGGUAGCAGUCUGAAGUUUAAUGUGUAUAUGGAAGGAGAACCUAAGAUUGUAGGGGCUUUGACUUUCAACUAUAAUGAAUCUCUGAACCGUUUGCUUCUAUCAUCCACUAUCAAUCUGAGUAUAACCACAAGUUCAGCAUUCAAGUUAACUCUACCGGAGCCCAGCCAUCUAAAGAAAUACUCCAGUUUCUCAUGGGAUGAUGAUGUUUUGUUUCUUAAUUUCACGUUUGAUCUGAACAUUGAUCGAAGCACAAUCAAUGCUGCUGUGAAAAGUAGUCAUUUUCAGGACAUGAGUGUUAUGCUCAACUAUGAUAUCAGGUCGGAAAGUAAAUUAGCAAGACUAGCUACGAAGGUUGGUUCAAGCGCGUAUGUCUUGAAAGCACAGUCCACCUCCACGCCGACAAACCAAACACUUCUGCUAAGGUUCAAGUCUCCCAUUGAGAAUUAUUCUUUGCUUCAGCUUUCAGCUGAGCUCUCGUCUUUUGUUGAUGGACACUAG
rnacentral:lncRNA from 1 species